rnacentral:tRNA from 1 species
GCUCCCGGAUAGCCUUGUGGUUAAGGUGUUCGAUUCACAAUCGUUCACCCCGGGUUCGAGUCCCCGUGGGGGCU